CCCAUAUUGCCUUCUCUCUGCACCCACGAAACCCUACUUCAGAUUUGUCUCUCUCGAUUUUGCUUGCUCGGAGACACCUCUGCAAAUCAUCUCAAUGUUCUAGGGUUUCUGCCUAAUCACUUCCUGUCAUAGAUGGCUGACCACAAUGGAAAUGGCGAGAACAGCCAAUGAGGAGAUCAAUUGAGCAGUGACGAUCUUAUAAUAGAUGGAACCCAUCACAUGGUUGCCCAAAAUGAGGUUAACCUGAGCACGCAGUUGAUAAAAAUGGCAAUGAUAUUCUAUCUUCUGGCAGUGGAUCUGAAGCUCCCAUUCAGGCUGUCACUUCAUCUAGGAAAUGCAUGCAAAGCUGAAGAUCAAAUGGAUGAGUCACUGGUUUGUGCACUGAAAGAGGCCACUCAGCAGUUAUGUGAUGUGUUCCCAACAAGCUCCCAUUCCCUCAAAUGAAGUAUUUGAGCUUUUGAAUGGAUUAGGCCUCAAUGAGAUGACCUUUAUGUCACUUAUACACUCCUUGUCUGUAACCCAUCAAAAUUGAGGGCUUAUCUUGGAUUUCCAGAGUCAAGGCGUCAGAGGUAUUUGAUAAACAUGUUAAGUGAUUGGAGGAACCUACCCAAGAAGUAGGGAGCCCAUUCUAGACUGUUACUUUCAAGCGUAAGUUUCCUAAAUGACUGUUGUAUUCGGUAUAUGAUGGUCGGUGUACUUGGCUCAGAACUAGUUCAGACCUCAGACAUUUUUGUUAACUAAUGCUUAUGUAUCUUCUGGUUCCCUGUUGCAAAACAGUGAAAUGCUCAAAAUUUGGAAUUGCAUUUUAGAGUUUAACCUAUAUUUUGUGACAUGAUUCAAGAGA